AUUGCUGGUUCUCCGGGCAUAUUAUGCAAGGGAGUGACCAGAAUACGAAGGGGAUGUAGCUCAGAUGGUAGAGCGCUCGCUUAGCAUGCGAGAGGUACGGGGAUCGAUACCCCGCAUCUCCAAGCUUUUCAAAUUCUUUUUACCACUUUCGUUUUCCCACCUUUUUGGUCUCUAACUCAUUUAAACGCGCCGUUUUUGCUCAUUUCGACUACUUCAGUCGACUCCAGUAUUUCUCUGUGGAAGACGGAUCACAUUACUGUGCUCGACGCCACUAGUUACAUUUCCAAAGUGCUGAUAUAUCAAUGGAGGAAAGAACACCAGUAACAUGCAAGAAGACAUGGAGGUUAACAUGAGUGAUUGCGCUGAAUAGUGCAUUCAUGAAUUAAUAUUUGCAGUGGAUACUCUACCUCUUCUCUUCAUCAAUUCCUCUACCGUUGCUCCCAGUGGCCUUGUAGGUGGGCAGUGGGGCUUGGCCAGAUUCUAUGUAAAUUAGAUCCUCCACAAGACGAUCAUAGUGUAUCUUUACUUCUUCAGGAGAUUUACCACCUACAGCCUUGGCCACAUUUUGCCAGCGGUCUGGGGUGUCCUUAUCAUAUAGAGCCAACGCCUUUUCAAAUAGCUUGUUUUGCUUGGGAGUCCAGGACGAGCUAGAACCAUGAGAAGAAGAAGAGAAGUGCCUUGAUGCCAUUUAUAUGCUAAAAUAUCGGCCAAGUACUGCAGGGACCGAAGAAUUGUGUAUCCAACCGAAGUUUAAAGGUAACUGGUGAGAGAAUGUGAUUGUGAAGUAUAAAGCUGAAGAAAAUGCUAAAAGUAAAGGAAGAUCGAAAGAAAAUGAGAGUAAAGACUAAAGAGUUGCCUAGUCAAGGGAGGAGAUGAAAACUGAAGUCAAGGGAGAGGUAUGUGUAAGAGACUGCCAUCUUUGCUCCUUAUAAACAGGAGAGAGACCCAGGGUGGUGUGGCUAUGCAAGUUGGCGAAUAAAUUUUUUUCGAGAUAGUAUAACAAGAUGUGAUUCGCUUCAUUGUGAAAUGGGAAGAAGGACAAGAAAAGAAAAGAGAAUCUGUUGUCAAAGGACAGGCUCUUUAUAAAGUCUUUUUCCUUGUCUUGUAUAAUAUCAUCAGCAACAGCAAGUGGAAUUCUUCGAGAAUUUUACCUAGUGCCUAGGGGGGAUUAGAUCCCAAUUCUAAGUCUACCCAUCAGCAGAUAGAUGCGCCUACAACAUGAACCGCCAUUCCACCUUUUAGACCCCGCAAAAAGACACGGUAAGAUAUUCUGCCAUAUUUUGUAGUGGCACUGGGAUUUUCUUGCUCUUGCUUACUUAGGCAACUUGCCAUCAGUAUAUAUCCAUUUUUAAGUAGUAUACGUUUAUUGGCCACUCUUUUUUGUGCGAGUGAAUCUUGGAUUUGUUUCUUGUAGUUGCCGACUAAAAAAUAGAAAAGGCGAAUAGAGUAUCAUUUCUUUCC